UCUCCAAUAGCUCAGUCGGUAGAGCGACGGACUGUUAAUCCGCAGGUCCCUGGUU
rnacentral:tRNA from 1 species